rnacentral:lncRNA from 1 species
CAGCAACAACAAAAUUAGCGACAACAGCAGCAACAACGCUACCAGCAGCAGCAGCAAGGAGAACGGCGUCAAGGAGGAGAAAAGGAGAGAUAAGCAUAAAAAUAGGAGCGGUGGCGACAGCAGCAGCGGUAGUAAGGACAAGGAAAGUCGUCAUCACAAGGAGAAGAGAGAAGGCAGCUAUAAAGUGAAGUGCCGGUACUGGCUUCAGUGUCACAACACGAGCAAGGAACAUCGCGACAGAUUUGAACAUCCUCCUCAAAAGAGCCUCAUCUCGAGGCCGCUGCCGGACGUGUUGUGCUCAGUCAAGGUUUUCCUGAAGGGCGACAUUGAAGAUAAAGAGAAGCUGGAACGAUACAUUGUAGCCUUUGGUGGGACGCUUGUGCCACAUCAUCGUCGGUCCGAGGCAACUCAUUGCUGCAGUGCCACAUCUCAGCCCUGCGAUCCCACUGAACAUUGCAGUGCUGUGCACACGAGCGUACAGUGGCUCUGGGAUAGCAUCAAGACUCAUCGUCUGCUGCCUGAAGCGUCGUACACGUCACCCCUGUAAGACCGUCCUCAUGCCUCGUGUCUAGCUAGGCUCCGAUGACCUAACUUUAGAUCAGUUAACCCUCUACCGCCGUAUGUCACUCUCCGAGAACAUACCUUUCAACUUAAAUUAUACGUAAACCAUUGAGUGAAGCAAGUUUUAAGUGAGUGAACUCACUUAAAACUUCACACAAACUAUUGAGUGAAGUGAGUUUUAAAAUUUUCGUAAGUGGCGGCAACCAUCAGUGCAAGUCUUUUUGC